rnacentral:tRNA from 1 species
AAGAGUGUAGUAUUAAUUGGUUAAUAUGUUGAUCUCCAAAAUCGAAGAUAGGUGUUCGAACCACCUCACUCUUG